rnacentral:rRNA from 1 species
GACGAACGCUGGCGGCGUGCCUAAUACAUGCAAGUCGAACGCAGUGGGGACGGGUGAGUAACACGUGGGUAACCUCCCAUCAGAGGGGAUAACACUUGGAAACAGGUGCUAAACCGAUACUGAUGGAUGGACCCGCGGUGCAUUAGCUAGUUGGUGAGGUAACGGCUCACCAAGGCCACGAUGCCUAGCCGACCUGGUAGGUUGAUCGGCAAAAAUGGGACGUAGACGAGACCCAGACGCCUACGGGAGGCAGCAGAAGGGAAUCUUCGGCAAUGGACGAAAGUCUGACCGAGCAACGCCGCGUGAGUGAAGAAGGUUUUCGGAUCGUAAACCUCUGUAGUUAGAGAAGCGGUAUCUAACCAGAAAGCCACGGCUAACUACGUGCCAGCAGCCGCGGUAAUUC